ACGCGUGUGUGUCCGGUUUGUGUUUACGUGCACUACAGUCUACAGACUUUGCAUGCACGCUUCC
ensembl:miRNA